rnacentral:rRNA from 1 species
AAAUUGAAGAGUUUGAUCAUGGCUCAGAUUGAACGCUGGCGGCAGGCCUAACACAUGCAAGUCGAACGGUAACAGAAAGCAGCUUGCUGCUUUGCUGACGAGUGGCGGACGGGUGAGUAAUGUCUGGGAAACUGCCCGAUGGAGGGGGAUAACUACUGGAAACGGUAGCUAAUACCGCAUAACGUCGCAAGACCAAAGAGGGGGACCUUAGGGCCUCUUGCCAUCGGAUGUGCCCAGAUGGGAUUAGCUAGUAGGUGGGGUAA